CCAGCAGCCGCGGUAAUUCCAGCUCUAAUAGCGUAUAUUAAAGUUGUUGCAGUUAAAAAGCUCGUAGUCGGAAGUCGGGCUCGGGCAGGCUGUCGGCCUCGGUUGGGCAACUUGCUUGGGUCUUCUAACUCGGGGGCCCCGUGCCAUUUAACCGUGGUGCGCGGGAACACGGGCCGUUUACUUUGAAAAAAUUAGAGUGCUCAAAGCAGGCUAUUCCGCCUGAAUAUUCGUGCAUGGAAUAAUAGAAUAGGAUGUCGAUCCUAUUUUGUUGGUUUUCGGGACUCGACAUAAUGAUUAAUAGGGACAAUUGGGGGCAUUUGUAUUCAAACGACAGAGGUGAAAUUCUUGGACCGUUUGAAGACAAACUACUGCGAAAGCAUUUGCCAAGAAUGUUUUCAUUAAUCAAGAACGAAAGU
rnacentral:rRNA from 1 species